CCUUCAAAGAGUUGUAUCAAACAAAAUAGAUUGCUAUUUAUAGUUUUCAAAAUUGAACUUGUAGAACAAGGAA
rnacentral:ncRNA from 12 species